rfam:Rhizobium sp. PDO1-076 strain PDO-076 ctg143, whole genome shotgun sequence.
CGGGGCGUAGCGCAGCCCGGUAGCGCACUUGACUGGGGGUCAAGGGGUCGUCGGUUCAAAUCCGGCCGCCCCGA